rnacentral:rRNA from 1 species
AUUGAACGCUGGCGGCAGGCCUAACACAUGCAAGUCGAGCGGUAGAGAGGUGCUUGCACCUCUUGAGAGCGGCGGACGGGUGAGUAAUGCCUAGGAAUCUGCCUGGUAGUGGGGGAUAACGUCCGGAAACGGACGCUAAUACCGCAUACGUCCUACGGGAGAAAGCAGGGGACCUCCGGGCGUUGCGCUAUCAGAUGCGCCCUGGUCGGAUUAUCUAGUUGGUGAGGUAAUGGCUCACCAAGGCGACGAUCCGUCACUGUUCUGAGAGGAUGAUCAGUCACACUGGAACUGAGACACGGUCCAGACUCCUACGGGAGGCAGCAGUGGGGAAUAUUGGACAAUGGGCGAAAGCCUGAUCCAGCCAUGCCGCGUGUGUGAAGAAGGUCUUCGGAUUGUAAAGCACUUUAAGUUGGGAGGAAGGGUUGUAGAUUAAUACUCUGCAAUUUUGACGUUACCGACAGAAUAAGCACCGGCUAACUCUGUGCCAGCCGCCGCAGUAACAC